rnacentral:misc_RNA from 1 species
CAACCCUCAAGCUUAGCUUGGUCUUGGGCACUGCCGGUGACGGCUUGCCUUAAAAUCAGUGGCGGUGCCAUUCGAGCUCUACGCGUAGUAAUUAACCCUCGCGAUUGAGUCUUGGUGGAUGCUUGCCAGCAACCCUCAAUUUUUUAUGG